CUUGCGCGCCCUUCGCUUUAGCCCUGCGCGCUGUCAUCUUCUCUGGGGCCAACCUUCUGUUCGUCGCUGUCACUCCCUUCCGAUCCUCCCCUAACUACCAGCCUCGUCUAUCAUCGUCCCUUCCCCGGUCAUAUAGGAAAACCCGGGGAAGCGCUGCGCUCCUGCCCACUGCCUGAUGACCCUCUGUUCCGUCUUGCUGCGCUAUACCCCUCUGGACCGCUCCGUGCCUUAGCC